CCCUCAUACUCACCACACCUCCAGCAUGAACAAGGCACAUUUGAGAAUAUUUUAUGGAGUCUGCUAGGUGUCAGAUACCAUCUAUAUAUAAGUUUCCUGUGCGCCUCAAUUAAGACGUUAGAGGAAAUCCAUUCUGUUUUGGUCAGGGCAACAGUAGUUUCUGUGGCUCAUUGGGUCAUAUAAGUAGGUGGUUUACGUGGGAUCCCUUACAUGAUGGU